rnacentral:rRNA from 1 species
CCUACGGGUGGCAGCAGUGGGGAAUAUUGGGCAAUGGAGGCAACUCUGACCCAGCAAUGCCGCGUGAAUGAAGAAGGUCUUCGGAUUGUAAAGUUCUUUAAUCAGGGACGAAGAAGAUGACGGUACCUGAGGAAUAAGCCACGGCAAACUAUGUGCCAGCAGCCGCGGUAAUACGGAGGAUGCGAGCGUUAUCCGGAUUUAUUGGAUUUAAAGGGUGCGCAGGCGGAAUGUCAAGUCAGCGGUAAAAUUUCGGGGCUCAACCCCGUCGUGCCGUUGAAACUGGCGUUCUUGAGUGAGCGAGAAGUAUGCGGAAUGCGUGGUGUAGCGGUGAAAUGCAUAGAUAUCACGCAGAACUCCGAUUGCGAAGGCAGCAUACCGGCGCUCAACUGACGCUCAUGCACGAAAGCGUGGGUAUCGAACAGGAUUAGAUACCCUAGUAGUC